rnacentral:tRNA from 1 species
GUGGGUGUAGCUUAAUAGCAAGCACAGCACUUGCUUUUCAUGCAGAAGGCCCUGGGUUUGAUCCCCAGCAUUGCCA